rnacentral:misc_RNA from 1 species
UUUGAUCCCUGCUUGCGCAGCGAACUUUUGCCCAGCAAUACUUAUCAUUUGUUGCUUCGAGUGACAUUUGUCCUCGAGCGACCRUCGGGUUUCUGUGUAGGAUACCUUAAGAAGGUAUUCAGCGACAAAAGCUUAAAAAUUUCGUCUCAUGCCACCACUUGGUAACGAGAUGAACCCCGAGGCACCUAUUGUGCUCCCACGCAGGCUUUAUGACCGUCGCGUGCGUGGUGCAUGGUAUGGCUGCUCGUGUUCUCGGAUACGGAAGAUUCUAUGGCUAGGCUGUCUUUCUUGCGGCUGUUGCUGAAAAAUAUAUUCCAUGUCGGAACGACCRUCUUGCAUCGUCUCAACGAUGCUGAUGUCGUGAAGGAAU